UAAAAUUAAGACUUCACAUUCUGGGGACUUUUGGUUAUUUAUGCUGCUACUGAGGAAAAGGUGCAUUACUGUGUUUACUUUGUAAUUAAAAGGGCCUCAGAGACCUUUUCCUCUCCCCUUCAGGGCACAAAGUACUAACUAAACCUGACAUUUCAUCUGUUAAUGUUUUCUUUGGGAAACAAAAGAUGGAAAUUGUGAUUAAAGUCUUUCCAGAUAAUAUCCCAGAACAAAGUAUAGAAAGAAAAGGAUUAUAUAACAUGACAUGUUAAUGUAAUGUAAUGUAUGUGUGGUAUUAUCUAAGGAUCACAUUAUAUCCAACUGGUAGGUUAUCUUUGUGUAUUUAAGAAUAUAUUUUAAAAAGCGUGUAGCUUUUAGCCAUGGAGUUUAUAAAUACUUGACUGAAUGUCUAUCUGACAUGUGAAAAAACUGCUGGGUGUUAUGAGAAGGACAAAGAUUUUUUGUUGUUGUUUUACCUCCAAGACUUCAGUGGGAAGUGAGAGUGGCUUCACUGCAGCGAAGAAUAAGAUAUAGUUAGGAGUUGUUCUGGGCUUAAACUAGAGAGUCUAGAUGAAGUUUUGGUUCCAAGUGUUACUGUACCUUCUGACAACUGUGAAUGAGGCUGGUUCUUGGGAAGCCGACAGUUCCCUAUCUGCAGAGUUCAGCUGGGACUAGCAUCCUUCUAGUUUGUCAGUGGCAUUAUCCAGGAAGCUAUCUAGUCCAUGGGGAAGGUGACAUCUCCUGAACCUGGCCCCCACAGAGAACUUUGAAUAGGUGGAAAGAGAAGGUUGUGUGCAUUCUUGCUCAUGUCACAAUGUUGAACAUGUGACUUAAGAGAAGCAUGUCAAUGGGAUUGGCCUGAUUCACUACCAAGCCCUGACUCUAGAGGGACUCAAGGCUAAUGCAGCUUAUUUAUACUCUUAAGCAUUCAUAUGAAUGAGAUUAUAUCCAUAAAAGACAUAAUAUUAUUUGAAAAGUACUGUUUAUUAGGGACAUCUAGAAGGACUAGGAGAAUACUUAUCAUCCUAUCAUCUCCUAUCUUGUACUUGUUGACAGUUCUUCAGCAUUCACAGCACUUACUAAAAGCUUACCAUAUGUCAAAAAUAUGCAAGGUGUCAGAGAUGGCAAUGAGCAAAGUACAAUGGAAUAAGAUUUAGUAACUGCACUCAAAAACAGCCAACAGCUAGCACUUAUGCAGUGUUUACUAUGUGUCAGGCUUGUUCUAAGUGGUACAAUCCUCAUUAUAUCCUCAUAACAACUCCAUGAGGUAGGUACGAAUAUUAUCCCCAUUCUACAGAUGGGGACACUGGUAUACAGAAAGAUGAAAUAACUUGCUAAAGAUUUCACAACUGGAUUGGCUGCCUCCCUGACAUCCUCGCUUGGAAGAUUCUCUCCAAAUGAUUGUAGGAACUGAGGAAGAGAAGCAAAUUUGCAACAUGCAGCAAUUUGUGUUUUCAUUUUUGAUUUUUGAGGCCCUAAUCCUCAUGGUCUAAUUUCAGGACACUUAAGGACAGAGAGUGUGCACCAGUAAAUGUAUUGCCUACUCGUCCCCAUCUUUCCCUAUUCCAAACCCUAUUUAUUUUCUCUACUUAGUCAGUCUUCUUGUUCCCUUCAAUCAUCCCUGUCCAAGUCCAAGUCUUGAAAAUACCCUUAAAAGCCAUUUCUAUUCAA